GACCCUAAAAAGUCCUAUAAACACAAAGGUUCGGUCCCAGCCUUAAAAUCAGUUUUUACCCCAUAUACACAUGCAAGUCUCCGCACCCCUGUGAGAACGCCCUUAACCUCCCUACUAGGGACGAGGAGCCGGUAUCAGGCACAAUAAUUAGCCCAAGACACCUAGCCAUGCCACACCCACACGGGUCUCCAGCAGUGAUCAACAUUGAACAUAAGCGACAGCUUGAUUCAGUCAAGGUAAAGAGAGCCGGCAAAUCUGGUGCCAGCCGCCGCGGUUACACCACGUGGCUCAAAUUGUAUUCUUUCGGCGUAAAGCGUGAUUUAAGUAAUCACUAAACUAGAGCCAAACUUAAAUUAAGCUGUAAAAAACUUGUUAUUUAGGAGGCCCAAAAACGAAAGUUGCUCUAACUUAACCAACUUGAACUCACGACAGCUAGGACACAAACUGGGAUUAGAUACCCCACUAUGCCUAGCCGUAAACCUUAAACUACUUCCAAAUCGCCAGGGAACUACGAGCAAAGCUUAAAACCCAAAGGACUUGACGGUACCCCAUAUCCCC
rnacentral:rRNA from 1 species